rnacentral:lncRNA from 1 species
AGGACUUCUUCAGGCAGGAUGUCUUAUCAUCUCCCUGUUUCUGGCAGGUUCCAGGGCAGUGGUAGGAUACAUGAAACUUGAAAUGUCACUCAGACUUUCUGAUAAUUUCCUACGUUAUUAUUAGAGUCAAAGGAAAGCUGUGAGAUAAAAAGAUUUCCAUAACAUGAGGAGGAGGGAGAAAGAAUAAAUUUCCAAAUCAUGCAAAUUAUUGUACUCUGAUAAUUUAGUUGGAAUUUAAAUUCUAAAAAGUAAAAAUAGAUGCAUAAAUAAAAUUGAGAGCCAGUUUCUUCCCCAUUUCUGAUAGGGUACCUAAUUCAUAGCCAAAUUAUGUUUUAGAAAGCACACACACAGAGGAACAAAAACCAGGGCAGCAGUACUCAGUAAGAAACCAGUGUGCUUUUUGACGAUAUUUUGUUGCCUUUAAGUCCUUUUCCACUGUUAUAAUGAACUGUACUUUCUCUGCUCGCUCUUUAAUCAGAGUCUCCUAAUUUCCCUGUGUUCUCCCUUAAGCUAGUGGAUCCACCCUCUCACAGUAAGGACGGGAGUGAAUAAAUGCUUUACUCUGCUUUCUCUUGCAUGAAGCUUUUUGUAUAUUUAAAUUGCAUAACCCCACCUCCAUUCCAAUUUAUUAUUUUCUCUAUCUGUAGAUGUAAGAUUCUUAAUGUGGAAGAUUUCAUCAAAUGAGGAUGGAUAGUUGGUGAAUGGCCUCUGGCUCUUCAACAACCCUUUUUGGUAUCUUACCAAGACUCCUUUCUGUAAUAAACACCUGAAAUAUAUUCAGAAGAAAUAAUCAAGAAAAUUAUAUUUGACUUUCUCUGUGCUCCUUACGUUUCAUCACUUGAUGUGAUAGUCGUACUGUUAUUUGGAAAUCGUUUCCUUUAAGAUCUCUGUCUUUACUCCUUACCCCUGCCUCUCUCUGUUGACAGCUUCAGAAGGUAUAUUAACAUGAAGACUAUAAACCAUGUUUAACUUAGGAAAGUGGGAGCUACUUUGAAGAUACUAAAUCAUUAUUCUUGCAAAUAGGAAGAAGAGGGUACCUAUGAUCACACCAUUGAGUUCCGGAGAGGGGGUGACGGACAGCCUCGAAGGUCCACUCGGCCAACACAGCAGUUUUACCAGCCUCCUCGAGCUCGGAACUAAUGUGAAAGGGUUUUUGUGAAGGAAGAACCACUGACUGAAAGAUCCUGGCAGCCCAUUCAUAGAUUUCCACUUCUUCAGACUGUGACUCAACGUGCUGGAUAUGAUUUUUAGAGAAAGAAAAAAAAAAUAAGGAAAUUUUAGGGGAAAGAUUCAACCUACACAAAGCAAGGGGGGAAAUACUGAGUCUGAUAGAGCAAAUAUCUUUACAAUGGAAAACUUUUCUUCUGCCAUCAAUAAAACCAGUGUGUUAUUAU